rnacentral:lncRNA from 1 species
UUUUUUUUUUUUUUUUUUUUUUUUUUUUGAGAUGGAGUCUCCCUCCAUCGCCCAGUCUGGAGUGCAGUGGUGGGAUCUCGAUUCACUGCAACCUCCGCCUCCUGGGCUCAAACAAUUCUCCUGCCUCAGUCUCCCGAGUAGCUGGGAUUACAGGUACAUACCAUCACACCCAGCUACUUUUUGUAUUUUUAGUAGAGGUGGGGUUUCACCAUGUUGGUCAGGCUGGUCUUGAACUCCUGACCUCAAAUGAUCCACCUGCCUCAGCCUCCCAAAUUGCUAAGAUUACAGGCAUGAGCCACCACACCCAGCCCAGACACUACAUUUUUAAAAUAAAGAUUUUAUGCAUAUCAACAAAACAUUAACAUCUAAAAAGAAAAAUAAACAAUUCAAUUCACAAAAAUGGCCAAGAAUUGAACCUCUACAGUGAUCCAAUAAAUACAAGUUAAAAUUAGACAUAAUUUCAUGUAUCAAAUUAGUCAAAAACUUUUCUCUUAAGACUAGCCAAGACUGGAAAGGUAUAUUGAAAUAGACACUCUCUUAAACUGUUGGUGAAAGUCAGUUGACAGUAGGUAUUGAGAAAGUAAGAUAUUUUUAUGGCUUUUGAACUAGUAAUUCUUCUGGGGAGACCUUUGCUUAGGAAAUAAUCUGAAAUAAAACAUUUUGCUCAAAACUUUUCAUUGUAGUGUGGUUUGUAACAACUAAAAGUUGGAAACCCAAGUGUUCAAAAAAAGGGGAAUGGUUACAAAAAUUAUGAUACAUUCAUACAACAAAUACUGUGCAGCCACUAAACAUUAUUACAUUUAUAGGUAAUUUUUAAUCGCACGGAAAAGUCUUAUGUUAGAAAUAUAACUGAAAAAGGCAAAAUACAAAACUUAAAAUUCAGAUGAUUUCAAUCCUGUGAAAAUUAAGGGUAGGGAAAAGAGUUGACUAUUCCUGUGGUCACAGUUUCUGGUGGUCAGACUUACUAUCUCCCAAGUCAUGAUGAUAAGGAAAAACCCUGGGUGUCAAUAUAGAUAUGGGAUGAAUUUUUAAAUGCUUCAGAUUUCACUGGGAACAAAACAAAAAUGAAAGAAGAGUUUCAGGUUUUUCCCUCACUGUCAAAGAUCAAUGUCUCAUGUUUCAAAUCCUGAAUUUCUUAUCUAUCUAUGGAAACCAAGACUGAGGACUGGGGAAAUUUCCUAAGCUGAAAUUUUAACAACUACAUAAACAAUAGGAUAUUGAAGUUUUGUGAAGUGAGUUCCAAAGACUUUAAAAAUGUGAAUUAAACUUAUUUGUAAUUUUUCCACAUUUCUCUUCUGUCCUUUUCCUUAAAUUUAAAGCUUCAUAUGCUUAAAUGGAGCUUAUCUAGUCAUUUUCAAGGCAAAUGACUAGAGAGUUAGGAUGGUCCUCUUAAAUAAAAGGGUCUUACAAACACUGAAAAUUUUAUUUGUUGAUUAUAUGGUUAUCUGAUAUCGUAAAGUGAAUUCACAAACUAUAUUUCCAAAGGAGAGGAAAAGAAUUCAGAAAAAUACUCAAAAAAUAUACAUACCUUUUUUUUUUUAAAUACCAGUCAGGGUCUCACUGUGUUGCCCAAGCUGGAGUGCAGUAGUGUGAUCAUAGCUCACUGCAGUCUUGAAUUCUUGGGCUCAAGCAAUCUUCCUGCCUCAGCCUCCCAAGCAGCUAGGACUACAGGUGUGUACUACCAUGUCCAGCUAAAUUUUCCACAUUUAAAAAAGCUUAUAUUUCUUUUUUGCAAAUAUAUUUUAAUACCCGUUUCUAUUAAAUCUAUAUUUACAUUAUUUUAAAUAACAUACAUCUAUAGAUUAUUUAUCAAGGCCAAGAAUCUGAUAAGAUCCUAAUCAAUAUUCAUUCAUUUAUUCAAUAAACAUUUGCAAGGUUGUUUGCAAUGCUAGGUGCUAAAAAUAUAUUAAUAAAAUAGAUACAGUCACUAUCCUCAAAUAACUUGGUUUAGUAAUCACUUUGGUUCCUCUCUGUUGUGGUUGUCUUCUUUGCUCGAUCUUUUUUUUUUCUAGCUACCCUCCUGAAAGUAUCCUGUAUAUUCCCUUCCCAGAGAUCUAAGGUGACCAGUGCUCUCCUUAGUAGUGACCAAUGAGUCCUCUCCACUUAUCUUCAUGUCUUUCCAUGCCUCCCUCCCUUUUAAAGCUACCAUUUACAGAGCUCUUCUAGGUAGCGGGCAUUUAUUUGUACAUCUUUCACUUAAUUCUAAUGAUAUUCUUGAAGGGUAGCCAUUAUUAUCCACAUUUUAUAGAUUACAGGUAACAAAGAAACCAAGGUUCAGAGAGGUUAAGCAAAUUAUCUCAAGUCACCCAGAGAAUAAGUGAUACAGCCAGAAUUCAAGUCUAGAUCUUUUUGAUACCAAAGCCCAUGAUCUUAGAUCACACUUCAUUUGUCCAUUUGAUCAUUCAUUCAUCUCACAUAGACUGAGAAACUAUUAUAUCCAAGAUUGAAGUCCCAACUCUCAGGAUGAUUACAGUUUAGUGAUAGAGACAGAUAAACAGAUAACAACAAUUCAAUGUGACCACUGCUAAAGUAAUCAUGGAUAAAUUAGACAUCGCUCUUUUCAAAAAUACAGUGGUAAACACUGGAUGUUACUGAAGGAACAAAGAAGGGAUACAAAACCAGUCUUGGAUGGAAGGGGCAUAUUAGUCAAGAUUGUUUUAAUAGAAACCCAAUUCAAUUUAGCUAAGCAAGUGGAAAUAUAUUGGCUCACAGAAAGUGCACUGAAGGAGCUCAUAGAGUCAAAGCAGGAGUGGCAGGAACGAGGUAGGACCUCAAGAACCAAAACUGCAGAUGCAAAGCCACCAGGACUCUUUAUUUCUCCAUCUAUUUCUCAUCUCUAUUGUAGACAGGGUGGAUGUGUGAUUUUCUCCAGCCACAGUUUGCACCAAGGACAGGGUAGUUCCACUGAAUUUAUGUGGGGAUGGGAUCUGUAACAGUGGAAAUUAAAGAAAGCAAAAAUUUUGAGGCUAGUGGCAAGAGAGUGGUUGACUGGCUAGAGGAGUGAUAGUGGGAGAUGACUGAUAGGGGUUUGAGGGAUGGAGUCCACAAUGACUUUUAAAAAUAAUGUUACAGAAUAAUGAACUGAAAGCUGAGAGCAUAGAAGAUUUUGGUCAGAGUGGGAUGUUUACAUUUAAUGCUUCAAUGGUAGAACUUCCCAGUUACAAGGAAGUUCAUGGAUUUGUGUGGCUGAAAAGGAAUAGAGGUUAAGGACAUUCAAAUUGAGGAAGUCAUGGAACUAAGAAGCCAGGGUGUCUGAUGAACAUUCAUAUGCUGUAGAGUCAGGUGCCAGGGUCAUCAAUGAAUGAGUUGAGAAGGAUAGUAGAGGACAAGAAUGAGUGGAAGGGAUAAUCAUAACAGCAAACAUUUACAGAAUGCUAUCUGUCAAAAGUGAGCACUAUAUUGAUUCAUUUAUUUUCACCUAUAGAGUAGGCACAAUGUCCCCCCUUUCUUUUUUCUUUUUCUUUUUCUUUUUUUUUUUUUUACAGAUGAGACACAAAGAAGCUAGAUAACUUGUCCAAGGUCACACAGCUACUAAGUGGUUUAACUGAGAUUCAAAUCCAAGCUACCUGUUUCUGGAGGUCACUUAACCAUUACACUGUACUCCCUUCCUGAUACACUGUACUC